GAAAUACUUUAUGAUCAGUAGAACACUUGCAGAAUUGAAAGGAUUUUGUGUCAAGAGGGUCGGACAUUUUUUCCCAGAAAAUGAUGAGAAAGAAAGUUCCUGAUCAAGAAGAUCUACAGGACAAGGGCUGAGCUUUAAUAGCUCUCUGUCUUCUCUGCUAAUGGAAAGCUCCACCACUACGACAGCUCAAGAGGAUCUCUAUAUCCACCAGGCACAAAAGCACACGAUAAUUGGUACUUUUCUCCUAUUACCUUUCUCAAUUGCCAUAAAAAUAUCUUCCCAUGAAAAGUGUUAAAUUGCCUUAACAUAUGUGGGGAAGGUGCAUCAUUUCCUGCAUGGUUGAUGAUUGAAGUGAACAAUGCCUAGCUCCAAUGAUACUCACAUUCUAAAGGCCCAUCUCCGCAAUCUUCGACCGCCAUCAACUCUAGUCACCACCGCCGGCCGCCACUAACUUCAAUGAGUUUCUAGCCUGAACAAAUUCAAACUCAAGAUUCCACAAAUCUCUACCUUAAGUUUGAGGAGGGAUGUUAUAAUAUAUUGUGGAAGUUACAAGAAUUUAUUUUAAAUGUGGGAGUUACCUAAAAUUUAUUCUACAUGGGAGGGUUACUUAGCAUUUAUAAUGUAAUUGAGAGUUAUAUGUGUGAGAUUAAUAUUGGAAGUUAGAAGGAUCCUUU